GAUGAAGAACGCAGCGAAAUGCGAUAAAUAAUGUGAAUUGCAGAAUUCAGUGAAUCAUCGAGUCUUUGAACGCACAUUGCGCCCCCUGGUAUUCCGGGGGGCAUGCCUGUCCGAGCGUCAUUGCUGCCCUCAAGCACGGCUUGUGUGUUGGGCCCCCGUCCCCCCCUCCCGGGGGACGGGCCCGAAAGGCAGCGGCGGCACCGCGUCCGGUCCUCGAGCGUAUGGGGCUUUGUCACCCGCUCUGUAGGCCCGGCCGGCGCCUGCCGACCACCAUCAAUCUUUUUUCAGGUUGACCUCGGAUCAGGUAGGGAUACCCGCUGAACUUAAGCAUAUCAAUAAGCGGAGGA
rnacentral:misc_RNA from 1 species